GAUGAACGCUGGCGGCGUGCCUAAUACAUGCAAGUCGAGCGAACGGACGAGAAGCUUGCUUCUCUGAUGUUAGCGGCGGACGGGUGAGUAACACGUGGAUAACCUACCUAUAAGACUGGGAUAACUUCGGGAAACCGGAGCUAAUACCGGAUAAUAUUUUGAACCGCAUGGUUCAAAAGUGAAAGACGGUCUUGCUGUCACUUAUAGAUGGAUCCGCGCUGCAUUAGCUAGUUGGUAAGGUAACGGCUUACCAAGGCAACGAUGAAUAGCCGACCUGAGAGGGUGAUCGGCCACACUGGAACUGAGACACGCUCCAGACUCCUACGGGAGGCAGAAGAAGGGAAUCUUCCGCAAUGGGCGAAAGCCUAACGGAGCAACGCCGCGUGAGUGAUGAAGGUCUCCGGAUCGUAAACCCCUGUUAUUAGGGAAGAACAUAUGUGUAAUUAACUGUGCACACUUUGACGGUACCUAAUCAGAAAGCCACGGCUAACUACGUG
rnacentral:rRNA from 1 species